rnacentral:rRNA from 1 species
GUACACGCUGUGACUAGCAUAUCAAUAAGCGGAGGAAAAGAAACUAACAAGGAUUCCCCUAGUAACGGCGAGUGAAGCGGGAAGAGCUCAAAUUUGAAAUCUUAAAGGGUUUCCCUUUACGAAUUGUAGUUUAAAGAAGUGUUUUCUGUUGAGGUUUUGGUAAAAGUUCUUUGGAAUAGGACAUCAUAGAGGGUGAGAAUCCCGUAUUUGACCUUUACUUUCAACUUUGUGAUACACUUUCAAAGAGUCGGAUUGUUUGGGAAUGCAGUCCAAAAUGGGUGGUAAAUUUCAUCUAAAGCUAAAUAUCGGCGAGAGACCGAUAGCGAACAAGUACCGUGAGGGAAAGAUGAAAAGAACUUUGAAAAGAGAGUUAAACAGUACGUGAAAUUGUCAAAAGGGAAGCGUUUGACACCAGUGUUGUUUUUCUGAAAAUCAAUUAAAGAACUGUUUAUGCUAAGUUGUUUAGACUUUAUCAGCUAAUCUGCUUAGUUUUGAGCUUUUCUUUAAUGCACUCUUCAGUUAACAAGUCAACAUCAAUUUCUUUUGCUGUAAAAAAAGCUUGAGGAAGGUGGCUUGAGAUUCGUCUUAAGUGUUUAUAGCCUCUUGCCUAUGCAGUCGGAGAGAUUGAGGUCUGCAGCGUAGAUCCUUCGGGGCUAAAUGCAUUUGUGCUAAGUUAUAGCAUUUCAUAGACAACUUGUUGACUAUGAUUUGUCUUGUAGCUUACUCGCUUAUGUUAUUUUACCUACGCUUAGGAUGUUGACGAGACUGUCGAUCUCAUCUAUACAUGACUCUGUGCAUAUCAAUAAGCGGAGGAAAAGGUACCUACGCUUAGGAUGUUGACGAGACUGUCGAUCUC